GUAAACCCAUAAAUAUACACUCGGAAAACGUCAAAUCGACGGUGCAAGUCCGCAAUCACAUAACUCGCUUUGCGACGUCGCAGAUAUCUGGCAUACUUCAUUCUUUACACGGAAUACUACUCAACGGCAAAUGAAACCCCCGAAAAAUCAGUGUUGAAGCUUGAAGCUUCUGUCUUUAUAUCGAUGGAUAUAAAUAUUUUCCAUAAGCUGUUAAAUGGUACUUGUUGUUUACUUGCUUUAAGAGAGAGGGGGGGAUUUGAUUUCGUGUUGCUUCUCCCAAUAAUGCGCUGAGACAGCAGAUUUGUCAGUUUCUUGCUUCCUGGUGCAGUUUAGGUGUUCUCUACCCCUUGUGUGUAUGUUCCUUUUUGUUUGCCCGAUAUAGACUUUGUCACACUCGUUACAUUCAAUUUUGUAUAUACCGGCUUUCUUUUGGUCGUCUAUUGGCUCCUCCAAGUCUUUGGAGAACUGUCGAUUCAAAUUGAACUUGUUAAAAUGACCAAAAGAAAGCCGGUAUAUACAAAAUUGAAUGUAAUGAGUGUGACAAAGUCUAUAUUGGGCAAACAAAAAGGAACGUACACACAAGGGGUAGAGAACACAUAAACUGCUUCAGUAAGCAAGAAACGGACGAAUCUGCUGUCCCGGCGCAUUAUUGGGAGAAACAACACGAAAUUAAAUCCCCCCCCCUCUCUCUCUCUUCUUAAAGCAAGUAAACAACAAGUACCAUUUAACAGCUUGGGAAAAUAUUUGUAUCCAUCGAUAUAAAGACAGAAGCUUCAACGCUGAUUUUUCGGGGGUUUCAAACCCAAUUUUUAAAGCCCUCGAUCAUCGGAGGGGAGCUGGAGAAAGGGGACAUGUCAACCUAAAGUCAUUCAAAAGCAGCGGUGGAUCAGUCGCUGAUGAUGGUCUCGCGACGAGACCGAAACGCGUCCGACCGGUAUAAAAAACGUGCAAGACUCAACUUCAGAGAGGGUACAAAUGCAGCAAAGAACAAUAACUUACAAAAGUACACCUGGAGCAAGGUGAAUAUGUCAAUAUC
rnacentral:lncRNA from 1 species